UGACUAUUGGCAAGUGAAACGUAAAAGAUGACAAAGUUCUUUUUCUAGUUGACCAUUUUGUCGAUUUCAGCUAACCAGUCAGUCAGUCACUUUUUUUCCACUCGGGAUUAUAUUGGGUGCCAUUUCAAGGUUCCUACCAAAUGAAAAUUACCCAGGUUUAUGUUUCGAUGGAAAGCAAACCUAUCAGCCUGGAACAUAUGAUCCAUCAAAUAACUGCUCACGAUUUCAUUGCGGAAAAAAUGGUUAUUUGGUACACGAAACGUGCUCAGCAGUCGCAACUUCACCAGGAUACCACAGAAAUAUUGAUUAUACCAAAAAAUACCCAGAUUGCUGUGUGAAUGUUGUAAAAGAUGACUAGGUUGAAAAUAUAAUUUUCGAAUACCUCUGUCUAAA